rnacentral:misc_RNA from 1 species
GAUGAAGAACGUAGCGAAAUGCGAUAAGUAAUGUGAAUUGCAGAAUUCAGUGAAUCAUCGAAUCUUUGAACGCACCUUGCGCUCCUUGGUAUUCCGAGGAGCAUGCCUGUUUGAGUGUCAUUUCACCACUCAAGCCUGGCUUGGUGUUGGGCGACGUCCCCUUUGGGGACGCGCCUCGAAACGCUCGGCGGCGUGGCACCGGCUUUAAGCGUAGCAGAAUCUUUCGCUUUGGAAGUCGGGGCCCCGUCUGCCGGAAGACCUACUCGCAAGGUUGACCUCGGAUCAGGCAGGGAUACCCGCUGAACUUAAGCAUAUCAAUAAGCGGAGGA